GACGAACGCUGGCGGCGCGCUUAACACAUGCAAGUCGAACGGAAAGGCCUGCUUUCCCUUGUGGAUUGCGGGUACUCGAGUGGCGAACGGGUGAGUAACACGUGAGUGAUCUGCCCCCAACUUGGGUAUAAGCCUGGGAAACUGGGUCUAAUUCCCGAUAGGAGUGCAGGGUGGUGAGUGUGGUGGAAAAUGAGUGGAUAGUGGAGGGGGAUGAGCUCGCGGUCUAUCAGCUUGUUGGUGGGGGAAUGGCCUACCAAGGCGGCGACGGGUAGCCCGCCGGAGAGGGUGGACGGCCACAUUGGGACUGAGAUACGGCACAGACUCCUACGGGAGGCAGCGAUUCUUAAUAUUACACCAUAUUCACAAUCCUAAUACAGCAACGCCGGCUUGAGGAUCACGGCCUUCGGGUUGUAAACUCCUUUCGACCUCAAAGAAUCCCCCUAAUUUUAAUUGUAGUAACAUUCAUUCUAUAAUAAGCACCGGCUAACUACUUG
rnacentral:rRNA from 1 species